CUAACAAGGAUUCCCCUAGUAACGGCGAGUGAAGAGGGAAAAGCUCAAAUUUUAAAUCUACCUGGUUCCCAGGUCGAAUUGUAUUUUGAAGAAUCGAUAUCGGUGUUGAGAUCUGGUUCAAGUUCUUUGGAACAAGACAUCAUGGAGGGUGAGAAUCCCGUGCAUGAUCAGACCAAGAUACUUUAUAUUCGUCUUCUAAGAGUCGAGUUGUUUGGGAAUGCAGCUCAAAUUGGGUGGUAGACUUCACCUAAGGCUAAAUAUCAGCGAGAGACCGAUAGCGAACAAGUACUGUGAAGGAAAGAUGAAAAGAACUUUGAAAAGAGAGUUAAAUAGUACGUGAAAUUGUUGAAAGGGAAACGAUUGAAGUCAGUCAUGCUAGUGAAAAUUCAGUUUGACGGGUUUUGGGUUUAGGAGUAAGAGGUAGGGUCAAACCGUCUCUCUUUUAAACUUGGGAUUUGUCGGAUGCACUUUUUCUUUGGCAGGUCAGUGUCGAUUUCGGGGGUUGUAAAAUACUUGGGGGAAAGUAGCUCUGCUUCGGGAGAGUAUUAUAGACCUUGAGAGAUGCAGCCCGUGGGAUCGAGGAUUGCAGCAAAUGCCUUUGGCUUGUCUUCUGAUCUUUGGUUGUUACCUCGUUUAUGACAACAUUCUUGUCAUCGAUGAGUUCUAAUGGUUAUGGGUUAGAAUGAUCAAAAAUUUGCUAAGGAUGC
rnacentral:rRNA from 1 species